rnacentral:ncRNA from 1 species
GUGCUUAUCAUGAAGCGAUGAGCACCAUAUUGGUGCAAAUUGUGUCCAGGUGCCCUUUUUAUGCUCCGUGAAAGCGAUCACAAAGAAACUCUGCAAUACUUGUUUGC